GUCCACGCCGUAAACGAUGCCGGCUCGUUCUUUGUCCUGCGUUUAGCAGGGUGAGGGGCUAAGCUCACGCGGUAAGCCGGCCGCCUGGGGAGUACGAGCGCAAGCUUAAAACUCAAAGGAAUUGACGGGGGCCCCGCACAAGCAGCGGAGCGUGUGGUUUAAUUCGACGCAACGCGAAGCACCUUACCCAGGCUUGACAUGUGCCUGCAAUCCGGUGAAAGCCGGCUCCUUCGAGGGUGGCACACAGGUGCUGCAUGGUUGUCGU
rnacentral:rRNA from 1 species